AACUGCCUGUCCAAAUAGUGGACUCGCCUCUUCCAGACUCAGACCUGAUACUAGGUCUUCCACCUUCUCCUCAAUUUCCCUAGUAAAUAAGUUAAUACAGAGUUAGACAGUCUCCUCCUUGCAACCACAUGCUUCAGUCACCCCAUCAAGGAAAUCUCAUUCAAACUUCUUGCUUUUCCUCCCCCAUCCUUUGAUGUGAGCCUCAAAUGUAUUCUCAUCACGACUCCUUUGUAUCAUGUCUCUAUGAGGAAACAUGGCAAAAAAGGUGCCCACGUGAUACUGGCCAGACAGAAUAACAAUAAAAUGCUGCUAUCAGCCUCCCAAAUAAGUGGAGGGCUCUCCCUAAAAAGUCUCUAUCUUUCCCUUUGUUUUCUUUCAUUAAACCAGUUGUUUCAUUAAGUGGAAUUCAAGAGAAGGGAGUCUGUAUCAUCCAUCUUUGAGUCUGUAUAUUGGUGUUACAACAAAAUUGCUCUCUACUCAUUUUCACAGUAAAUGUCCGGGGCCUCAAUAACAUUAUGAGUUAAGAAGACUUUUGUGGGGCUGCUCUGGAAACCUCAUCAUCAUUUAUAGUAUUGUUUAUUGGAGGAAAAACCAUUCCUAGUUCCCAAAAUAACCAACUCCCAAAGGUUUGGAGUACACCACUUUUGUGAAUUGAACAUUUCCUCUAUGUUCAUAGAUUAAUAGUCAAACCAUAGUUUUGGAUUGACUGGAAACAAAAGAUGAAUGAGGAUUUAAAAAAACUCCAAGAGAAUAAUAACACUGUCUCCUCACUGUAAAGAAUCAAAAGCCGUAAUCAUCAGGCAUCCGAUCAUGGUCUGAAUUUUGUUUGUGCCUUGCUCUGAAGACUGCAUGGUAGUCCACUUGGCAUCUCUGUUUUCCUAGGGUCAUGAUUUUUGCUUCCUCACUGUGUGCAGACAAAACUCCAGGAGGAACUGUCCCAGGCCAGGAUCUGCCUGAUCUCUACAGGGAGGCUCCUGGGGCCCCGAGCGGAGCCCCUCUGGCCUUGGAGCACUGUGGCGCUUUCUCUCUGAUGGGUUUGGUCCGAAAACUAUCCACUUUGCCUGCGUCUCUGGGCCAUGUGGCAGAAGACGGCCUCCCGUAACUGCGGAGUUUCGCAUCUCUACCCUCGAGAGACCCGCCCAGCGUAAGCUGGAGCCUCUCUGCUGUAAUUCUAAAUUCUGAAUAGCUCCCAGCUCCAGAGGGGGGAUCUGAUUGGCUCAGGGACACGGAUUUGCAAAGUGUGCUCAGCAGCCAGUGACAGCCUCCCACUCGAAGAGAGAAAUGGACGGUUUGGUGCCCGGCCAUUCUGCCAGAGAACCGAAGGUCGCUGCAGUUUGAUUUUUACAGAAUCUGUACCACUCUUGCACUCUGAGGUGCAAGCUUGGCCAGCGCAGCGAGGUCAUUUUCGGGGCAAAGCAACUCCACAGACAUCCUGGGGGCUUUGUUACAGGCUCGGGAAGGACACCAGCCUGAAGUUACACUGAUUUUUUUUCAGUUCAUUGACCCACACCAGUAAAGAGAGGUCAGCAGCCGGAGCCCUCCCUUUGUGAUGGAGGCUGUUCUCAGCCCAAGCAGAACUGGAUUGACCAGUUUAUUAGAGAGGGGUUGCUUUAUGGGUGUGGGACUGUAUUCCUGGCCUCUGAAUUCGGAGACCUGAGAUUGAAUCCAGCAUCUGCCACACUGGCUGGCAAAGUACCCUGGAUAUGGACGAGCCUCAUAACUGAAAAGGGAAAUGAAAUGGGAUGUCUACAGUAAACAGCAGAAUAAAUCAGACCACAUCUGUGUUACAAACAAAAGCAAAUGGUGCCUGCAUGUGGAGUCUGCAACAGCCAUUUUGCAACCAUGAAGGAUGACCUGCCACCAGAUGGGAAGACCUGAGACCUUGGUGACCAGCCCUGCCUCCCUCUGGACUGCUUGCAAAGUGACAUAUGGUCAACACGGCAGCUGCUUCAUCAGCCUGGAAUCCUGAACCACAAGGAGUGGGGACCCUGCCAGCCUACAGUGGACAAGGAGGUGAGAGGGGUCUGCAGAGGGGUCUGUGAAGGCAAAGGUGGUAACCCGUAGCAACAGAUAGGACACUGAUGAUAACAUUUCCGGGCAUUUUGCCUAACAACGACGUGGAAGCAGCUGUCAAAGAAUUCAGGGGGCCUCUCUACCACCCAGGGCCUGGUGCACAGUGGCUGCCCAGUCACCAUUUGGUGAAUGAGAGACGAGUGAGUGAGUGAGUGAUGGUGACUCGUACCUGAGGAUGGGACAUCUAGAGACACUGUGCUGCCAUGAACAGAGGCAGUUACCAAGCCUCUGUGGGCAGUUGGUUUGGGAAGAGAAUUGGUAUUUUCUGCCUUCAAGACAGAGAGCUUGAGAGCUGCCUGCAUGUGACCACAGAAGGAUCCUAAUGUCCCCCCAAACAUUCAGACCAUGAACAUAGGCUCCCAUGUUGCCAAACUCUUAAGACUACAUCAAAUGAAAGUCCCAGAGGAGGGAGCAGGGUAAGAGGAACACUGGCAGAUUUCUCACUAAGAAGGCCGAAAGAAGAGAAUUCAAAAAAUCCGAAGGAAUGUAAAUAAGUGUUCUACAAAGAGACAUGGGUGGUGCCGUGGGAUUAGCAUGGAUUUUGAAAUCAGCCUGAUUUGGGUUCAUGUCCUGACUCUGUGAAACUGUAAAAAGCCACCCCAAUUCUGGAA